rnacentral:sRNA from 1 species
AGCCAAGCUGGGUCACUUCCAAAGGUGGGAGGGCUUCCAGCAGAAGCCCAUGAGCAAGAAGAACAUGAAUUCAACACUUGACUUCUUUAUUCAAUCCUACAACAAUGCCAGCAACGACACCUACUUAUAUCGAGUCCAGAAGCUAAUUCGAAGUCAGAUGCAGAUGGAGUUUCGCUCUUGUUGCCCAAGCUGGAGUGCAAUGGCAUGAUCUUGGCUCACUGCAACCUCCUCCUCCCAGGUUCAAGUGAUUCUUCUGCCUCAGCCUCCCAAGUAGCUGAGAUUACAGAGGGGACAAGAGCAGGCAUGGAGGGCUGCCAGGUGCCUCUGGGGCUUCACGCCCAGCUCCUCCCAAUUGAGGCUCUUGGUUAAGUGACAUCCAGACUCUCCAGACCUCAGUUUCUUCACCUGCGAAGUGGCUCAGAAUAGGAGGGAAGUACUUAGCACAGUGCCAUCAUCUAGUAGCACUUGUAAAAAUCUUUGCUGUUA